AUUGAACGCUGGCGGUAGGCCUAACACAUGCAAGUCGAACGCGAAAGUCCUUCGGAUGAGUAGAGUGGCGGACGGGUGAGUAACGCGUAGGAAUCUAUCCUGUAGUGGGGGAUAACGUUUCGAAAGGAACGCUAAUACCGCAUACGCCCCAAGGGGGAAAGCGGGGGAUCUUCGGACCUCGUGCUAUAGGAGGAGCCUGCGUCGGAUUAGCUAGUUGGUGAGGUAAAGCUCACCAAGGCGGCGAUCCGUAGCUGGUCUGAGAGGAUGAUCAGCCACACCGGAACUGAGACACGGUCCGGACUCCUACGGGAGGCAGCA
rnacentral:rRNA from 1 species